rnacentral:lncRNA from 1 species
AAGGACAAAAUGAUGGCAUUGUUUCUGAGGAUACAAAAGGGUUUCCCUCAUGUAUGUCUCACCUGGGUCCGGUAUUUGCCAGGAGACCAGAUAUGUGUCUGGUGGACCCUGAUGCAUCAGCAAAUCUGGUGAUUUACUCCCCUUAGAAUGCUAUGACAUUACAGGUAAGUGAGAUGGAAGCCCCGUUGAAAGCUU